UUUAUUUAUUUAUUGUAGUUAUCUUAAGGGGAAAAUGUCUGGAAUGGCUUUGCUUCAAGUACAGGUUCCAGGAGGAUUCGAGGCAGAACUUCAGUCACUGAAGGAUAAUAUUCUUGUUAAAAAAGUGGAAAUGAAAAAACGCAUCGUCAAUAUUUACUUUGACUCGAUUCCGGGGGAUCCUAUCGUACUUUACGUUGACGUUCCAAUGUCCAGAAAUGACUUGGUGGGAAAAACACAGCCUGCUACCGUCAAGAUCAUAGAUUACUACUCUCCUGGUAACGAAGUGUUGACUACCUACCAGUCCAGCGUUCUGAAUCAAUUAGAAGUUUGCGAUCUUUGCGGUAAAGAUUGCAAAAUAUGCUAAAGUUGAGAAAGAAAUCACAGAAUCUCGAAUGGGCAACCCAGUGUUAAGUCCACCAAAGAAAAGACUUGAACCGUACAAAAGGCAGAAUUGCUCCAUAAUAAAGACAUACGUGAUUUCUUGCAACACUUUUAAGUUAAAAGCUUAAGGACUUAUUAACACGAUGUUUAAAACAUUAUUUGCCAUGCAGUUUUGACUCUUUCACUAAUUGCUAAAAAAAAACUUGGAUCGAUUUAUAUCAAUAAAAUGAUAUUAGGAAUGGA